rnacentral:rRNA from 1 species
GGAUUAGUGGCGAACGGGUGAGUAACACGUGGGCAAUCUGCCCUGUACUUUGGGAUAAGCCUGGGAAACUGGGUCUAAUACCGGAUAUGACUGGGCCUCGCAUGGGGUUUGGUGGAAAGCUCCGGCGGUACAGGAUGAGCCCGCGGCCUAUCAGCUUGUUGGUGGGGUAAUGGCCUACCAAGGCGACGACGGGUAGCCGGCCUGAGAGGGUGACCGGCC